rnacentral:rRNA from 1 species
UGCGCAGGCGGGGAUGUAAGUCAGUGGUGAAAUACUGCCGCUCAACGGUAGAACUGCCAUUGAUACUGCAUCUCUUGAGUAUGGUUGAGGUAGGCGGAAUGUGUUGUGUAGCGGUGAAAUGCAUAGAUAUGACACAGAACGCCGAUUGCGAAGGCAGCUUACUAAGCCAUUACUGACACUGAGGCACGAAAGCGUGGGGAGCGAACAGGAUUAGAUACCCUGGUAGUCC